ACGAGUGGCGGACGGGUGAGUAACACGUAGGUAACCUGCCCAGAAGCGGGGGACAACAUUUGGAAACAGAUGCUAAUACCGCAUAACAGCGUUGUUCGCAUGAACAACGCUUAAAAGAUGGCUUCUCGCUAUCACUUCUGGAUGGACCUGCGGUGCAUUAGCUUGUUGGUGGGGUAACGGCCUACCAAGGCGAUGAUGCAUAGCCGAGUUGAGAGACUGAUCGGCCACAAUGGGACUGAGACACGGCCCAUACUCCUACGGGAGGCAGCAGUAGGGAAUCUUCCACAAUGGGCGCAAGCCUGAUGGAGCAACACCGCGUGAGUGAAGAAGGGUUUCGGCUCGUAAAGCUCUGUUGUUAAAGAAGAACACGUAUGAGAGUAACUGUUCAUACGUUGACGGUAUUUAACCAGAAAGUCACGGCUAACUACGUGCCAGCAGCCGCGGUAAUACGUAGGUGGCAAGCGUUAUCCGGAUUUAUUGGGCGUAAAGAGAGUGCAGGCGGUUUUCUAAGUCUGAUGUGAAAGCCUUCGGCUUAACCGGAGAAGUGCAUCGGAAACUGGAUAACUUGAGUGCAGAAGAGGGUAGUGGAACUCCAUGUGUAGCGGUGGAAUGCGUAGAUAUAUGGAAGAACACCAGUGGCGAAGGCGGCUACCUGGUCUGCAACUGACGCUGAGACUCGAAAGCAUGGGUAGCGAACAGGAUUAGAUACCCUGGUAGUCCAUGCCGUAAACGAUGAGUGCUAGGUGUUGGAGGGUUUCCGCCCUUCAGUGCCGGAGCUAACGCAUUAAGCACUCCGCCUGGGGAGUACGACCGCAAGGUUGAAACUCAAAGGAAUUGACGGGGGCCCGCACAAGCGGUGGAGCAUGUGGUUUAAUUCGAAGCUACGCGAAGAACCUUACCAGGUCUUGACAUCUUGCGCCAACCCUAGAGAUAGGGCGUUUCCUUCGGGAACGCAAUGACAGGUGGUGCAUGGUCGUCGUCAGCUCGUGUCGUGAGAUGUUGGGUUAAGUCCCGCAACGAGCGCAACCCUUGUUACUAGUUGCCAGCAUUAAGUUGGGCACUCUAGUGAGACUGCCGGUGACAAACCGGAGGAAGGUGGGGACGACGUCAGAUCAUCAUGCCCCUUAUGACCUGGGCUACACACGUGCUACAAUGGACGGUACAACGAGUCGCGAACUCGCGAGGGCAAGCAAAUCUCUUAAAACCGUUCUCAGUUCGGACUGCAGGCUGCAACUCGCCUGCACGAAGUCGGAAUCGCUAGUAAUCGCGGAUCAGCAUGCCGCGGUGAAUACGUUCCCGGGCCUUGUACACACCGCCCGUCACACCAUGAGAGUUUGUAACACCCAAAGUCGGUGGGGUAACCUUUUAGGAGCCAGCCGCCUAAGGUGGGAC
rnacentral:rRNA from 1 species